rnacentral:rRNA from 1 species
GAGUUUAAUCUUGGCUCAGAUUGAACGCUGGCGGCAGGCCUAACACAUGCAAGUCGAGCGGAUGACGGGAGCUUGCUCCUUGAUUCAGCGGCGGACGGGUGAGUAAUGCCUAGGAAUCUGCCUGGUAGUGGGGGACAACGUUUCGAAAGGAACGCUAAUACCGCAUACGUCCUACGGGAGAAAGCAGGGGACCUUCGGGCCUUGCGCUAUCAGAUGAGCCUAGGUCGGAUUAGCUAGUUGGUGGGGUAAUGGCUCACCAAGGCGACGAUCCGUAACUGGUCUGAGAGGAUGAUCAGUCACACUGGAACUGAGACACGGUCCAGACUCCUACGGGAGGCAGCAGUGGGGAAUAUUGGACAAUGGGCGAAAGCCUGAUCCAGCAAUGCCGCGUGUGUGAAGAAGGUCUUCGGAUUGUAAAGCACUUUUGGCAGGGACGAUGAUGACGGUACCUGCAGAAUAAGCCCGGCUAACUUCGUGCCAGCAGCCGCGGUAAU